rnacentral:tRNA from 1 species
GGGCCCGUAGCUCAGCCAGGGUAGAGCGCCCGGCAUACGACCGGGUGGUCGGCGGUUCAAAUCCGCCCGGGCCCACCA